rnacentral:lncRNA from 1 species
AAAAUGAUGUUUUUUUGUAUGACUCACCUCUGGCUACCUCACCAACCAUAUUGUCAUCAUCACUAAUAUCAGGAAGAGUCACACUAAUUAUAAACCAUAAAGUAAUGUUCCUUAAAAAUCAUCAUCAGAAUAAGUCAGUACCUCACAAGAAGAGAGUUUCCUUCAGUGUUCAAGCAUAAGCUGCAAAGCCCCCUGUUGGUGUAUGCUCUUCAUAUUUUGCUUCUUGUUUCAUUUCAGUUAUUUUUGUGCUGACUUUUUAUAAUUAUUUUCUUACAUAUUGUUGCAUUAUGAAGAAGUUGAGUGUGUUUGUUUCUUCAGGUAGAAUUUCCAAAAGUGCAGCCACAAAUUAAGGCUUCAUUUCUUGGGUUCACAUAUACAGCAAAAGUAUGGAACUCAAGAGCUGGCAUGAACAUAAGGAACAAAUAUAGCACUAAUUAGGGUGCAUAAAUACCCAAAAUAUUUUGUAAACAACAUAAAAUUAUAAAUAAAAAAUCAGAAACAUGUAAUCAUUCGAGGUCAAUUCAUCUUGAAAACAAUGUAACUACAUAUGUCUAGUAAAUAGCAAUCACCAUAUUAAACACUAUCAUGUAUUUUAAAAUGAAGAAAAAAGAGAGAUUACCAAAAGAAGUUGAGAUCUUCAAGUUAGCCGGUUCACAACUCACAAAAGGGUUUGGUGAUAUUUCAAUUCCAAACACCUUCACAGGAUUCUAGUUUUGAAACGAAGGAGAUUAGAUCCUCUAGACUUGCACAAAAACUAAACCUAAAAUAAAAAAAGAGAAUGGGUAAGAGUAAGAGUGAAAUACCAAAGUAUUUGAAGGAAACCUUAUCUUAAGCGAGAAAUGAUGAAGGGAAUAAGAUGGACAAGAGUAUUAUGGGGUACAAUUUAGGAAGAUAAUGAAACUCCAUUGCACGAAGAAGAAGAAACUAGAAGACAAAAGAGAGGUUGGAUGUGNNNNNCUGAAAGAAGAACAAAGACAAAUUAAACUAAGAAGUGGUUACUUGGAAUCUGAGGACGUGGUAAACUAGCUUUUCCCUUCCAUUAUCAGAAUUUGAUGGAAGAAGGAGAAGAGUUAUUUUUCUUCUCAUUAUCAAAAUCGGAAGAAGAUAAAUCGUGAUUCGUGAUGAUUUCAGAAUCUGAAAUCAUAUCUAAGACCGAUUCACCUACUCAGAAUCAAACAUUAAGUAGUUGAAAUUUUAUUUGCUUUAGUUUAUUCUAAUUUAGGGAUUGAGAUCGAAAGAACCAUAUUUCCUAAAAUUUGUAACAUAAUUAUAAAAUAAAAAAGAAUGUUAAUAUACCUGUGAAGAAGCUACAAAUGCAUAUGAUGGAAGAAGCUUUGAUGAGCUGUGAUGGAAGAAAUUAUGAGCAAAGAUGGAGAAAUUUUGAGUUGUG